UUACUGUAGAACCUUUGAAGAUUUUGGAUUGCACACGAUGGAAAUCUGCAGCUUUUGAAAAUUGUAGAUUGCUGAGAUUUUCUUCAGCCGCCUUUGAAAACUUUGCUCUCGGCGUGAUCAUCUUCUCCUGAAAUUGGGGCUUUUUGGGAGUGAUGGAUUGCAUGGAAGAUAUUGCAGCUGUGAAAAUUGUGGAUCUUGUCGUGAUUUUCCCUUGCUGAAAUCUUGACUAUUUGGAUAGGAUUUACUGCGGAAAAAUGCAGUUUUGAAGAUGAAUAGUUGUGGUAAUGAUAUAUGUUGGAGGGGUUGGUGUAAUAGUGUAGUGAUUCGACUAUUUAUCGUGAUCUAAUUUCUCAUAGUUCGUACUUGUUUCUGUAAUAAUUCUCCAAUUCUCGAUGAUUAAAUACUCGUC
rnacentral:lncRNA from 1 species